rnacentral:rRNA from 1 species
GACAGAGGGGGCAAGCGUUGCUCGGAAUUACUGGGCGUAAAGGGCGCGUAGGCGGGAUGGCAAGUCGGUCGUGAAAUCCCUCGGCUCAACUGAGGAUCGUCGAUCGAUACUGCCGUUCUUGAGGAUUGCAGAGGAGACUGGAAUUCCCGGUGUAGCGGUGAAAUGUGUAGAGAUCGGGAGGAACACCGGUGGCGAAGGCGGGUCUCUGGGCAAUUCCUGACGCUGAGGUGCGAAAGCGUGGGGAGCAAACAGG